AUUGAACGCUGGCGGCAGGCCUAACACAUGCAAGUCGAGCGGGGAAAGGUAGCUUGCUACCUGACCUAGCGGCGGACGGGUGAGUAAUGCUUAGGAAUCUGCCUAUUAGUGGGGGACAACAUCUCGAAAGGGAUGCUAAUACCGCAUACGUCCUACGGGAGAAAGCAGGGGACCUUCGGGCCUUGCGCUAAUAGAUGAGCCUAAGUCGGAUUAGCUAGUUGGUGGGGUAAAGGCCUACCAAGGCGACGAUCUGUAGCGGGUCUGAGAGGAUGAUCCGCCACACUGGGACUGAGACACGGCCCAGACUCCUACGGGAGGCAGCAGUGGGGAAUAUUGGACAAUGGGGGGAACCCUGAUCCAGCCAUGCCGCGUGUGUGAAGAAGGCCUUUUGGUUGUAAAGCACUUUAAGCGAGGAGGAGGCUACCGAGAUUAAUACUCUUGGAUAGUGGACGUUACUCGCAGAAUAAGCACCGGCUAACUCUGUGCCAGCCGCCGCCGUAA
rnacentral:rRNA from 1 species